GAUGAAGAACGCAGCAAAAUGCGAUAAGUAAUGUGAAUUGCAGAAUUCAGUGAAUCAUCGAAUCUUUGAACGCACAUUGCGCCCGCCAGUAUUCUGGCGGGCAUGCCUGUCUGAGCGUCAUUUCAACCCUCAUGCCCCUAGGGCGUGGUGUUGGGGAUCGGCCAAAGCCCGCGAGGGACGGCCGGCCCCUAAAUCUAGUGGCGGACCCGUCGUGGCCUCCUCUGCGAAGUAGUGAUAUUCCGCAUCGGAGAGCGAUGAGCCCCUGCCGUUAAACCCCCAACUUUCCAAGGUUGACCUCAGAUCAGGUAGGAAUACCCGCUGAACUUAAGCAUAUCAAUAAGCGGAGGA
rnacentral:misc_RNA from 1 species